rnacentral:rRNA from 1 species
UAAAGGAAGCGAUUCCGGCUACGGAUGGUCAUGCGUCGCAUUAGCUAGUUGGCGGGGUAACGGCCCACCAAGGCGACGAUGCGUAGGGGUUCUGAGAGGAAGGUCCCCCACACUGGUACUGAGACACGGACCAGACUCCUACGGGAGGCAGCAGUGAGGAAUAUUGGUCAAUGGCCGCAGGGCUGAACCAGCCAAGUCGCGUGAGGGAUGACGGUCCUAUGGAUUGUAAACCUCUUUUGUCAGGGAGCAAAGGGCGCCACGUGUGGCGCUUUGCGAGUACCUGAAGAAAAAGCAUCGGCUAACUCCGUGCCAGCAGCCGCGGUAAUACGGAGGAUGCGAGCGUUAUCCGGAUUUAUUGGGUUUAAAGGGUGCGCAGGCGGAAUGUCAAGUCAGCGGUAAAAUUUCGGGGCUCAACCCCGCCGUGCCGUUGAAACUGGCGUUCUUGAGUGAGCGAGAAGUAUGCGGAAUGCGUGGUGUAGCGGUGAAAUGCAUAGAUAUCACGCAGAACUCCGAUUGCGAAGGCAGCAUACCGGCGCUCAACUGACGCUCAUGCACGAAAGCGUGGGUAUCGAACAGGAUUAGAUACCCUGGUAGUCCACGCAGUAAACGAUGAAUACUAACUGUCCGGGCAGAAUGAUGCCUGG